rnacentral:lncRNA from 10 species
AUUGACACACCUAAAGACAAACUGGUACAGGAAGAUUUGCCUCACCCGCUCUUCUGGAAGUAUGGUUUUGGAUCACCUAUCCAGAUGGACCAGAGCUCUUGUUAAAAGUGCAGGCUUAGUCGCUCUGUUGCCCAGGCUGAAGAGCAGUGGGCGAUCUCAGCUGAGUGCAAGCUCCACCUCCCGGGUUCACACCAUUCUCCUGCCUCAGCCUCCGGAGUAGCUGGGACUACAGGCGCCCGCCACCACGCCCAGCUAAUCUUUUUGUAUUUUUAGUAGAGACAGGGUUUCACCGUGUUAGCCAGGAUAGUCUCGAUCUCUUGACCUCGUGAUCCACCCGCCUCGGCCUCCCAAAGUGCUGGGAUUACAGGCAUGAGCCACUGCACCCGGCCUAAAAGCCUCUUCUAAGAAAGGUUCCACAGGCUUCACCAGCCUUCCAAAGAGGUCCGCUGCACACAAAAGUUUCAGAAUUUCUGGUGUAUUAGGCCUACUGGAUCUUUUUCUGAAACCAUGAACAAUCAAAAGAGUAAUAUAACCAAUGACAAUUCCUUGAAAAUUAACGUCUGAAAAAGCUUCUUGGGAGAAUUUGAUCUGUGAUUGAAAGGAUAAACAGAAUUACAGAGGAGAAGUGAUUACACUCAGGGAAAAUGGAAAUGUAAGCAAAGCUACUGUUUCAGAUCAACUGCCCUAGAAGCAGAGCCCAAGACAGGGAUUCUAUGCAAUUGACCUGUUGAAGGAGUGCUCUCAGGAGAAACACAUCAGAAGGUGAAUGAGCAGAAUAUGGAGGGGAAGGAGCUCAGCAAGAUGUGGCCUCAGCCAGAGUCCACCUCAGCCCCAUCUCCUGGGGAGCUCUGGAGCAUUAGUGACAACUCAAGGUUGUCAUGAUUUGAGACAAGGCUUAACAACCCUGCUUUGCCCCUGCAUGGCAUAGGCCAGGGCCAAUCCUUCAGAGAAGGGGGAAGCUUUGAGCCGUUAGUGGCAAAUACCUGAAGCAACUGGGGGAAUGGAUACACCAGCUUGCCAAGAGGACCUGGCCAAGGCAGACACUACCUUGCGGAGGUGACAGUGAACAUAGCGUGCUGACGAACAGUGAGGUGGGCAGAUAUAUUUGAGGAGAUGAGUUAUAGUGAGGAUUGGUGAGUAAGUAGGACUGGUGCAUGUUCAAGGUCCGAGAGAAACAGAGAGAGUUUUGUGAGCAAUACUAAGCACCCUGUUGAGGUUGGUGACCAUGAAGUUUAUUGUGGUGCAAUUGUGUGUGAUUUCACGGUGAGAGCAAACCAAAAGUGAGUUCAUCCAAAAGUGAUAUUUUGCUAGAGAGUGGUACAAGGGAGUUGAGAGUGUUGGCAAAAUGGGAUCAGGAGGCAAGUGAAGACAGAAGAGAUCUAAUCAACAGGCAGCUGAGGAAAGAAUCAAAGACCCCCCCAAAAUAUUCAAAGAGUAGUACUUGUGGGAGUUGUUGAGCAAGUAACAUGGGAAGAGAGGACGCUGCUUCCACCAGUGGUUUUGGAGGUGGAGUAGAUGCUGGUGAUAAUGAAGUCCCAGAUAGGAAAUGGGAGUGGAUGCCAAGGAGAUCUCAAGGACCCUGCAGAUGAGGACUCAAACCCACAAUAUUGAUGAGGCAUCCAUGUCACCAUGGGAGUCAACGAGGAUAGUGGCCUCAGCUGAGGCAGGGAAAAGCUGGGAUCCAAGUGACAUAGUCUUCUCUUGAUAAGCAAGAGAGACCAGGAGAUGAGAGAUGGCAGAGAAUGAGAGAGGUGAUAUCAGUUACCAGAAAGAGCCCCUAAAAGGCAACACUUCUUUUUUUCCAUUAGUUUUAAUAUAGAAUUUUGCUUUAGUACUUUUAAUUAGAUAACCCUCUUUUAAAAAUAUAUAUUUUUUAAAAUAUAUUUUUUUCUUACCAUACCAACUCACAGCCCCAAUCUUUUUGCCCUAACCUCAGAAUCAGUUAGUUGUCCGCUUUAAAACCCUUUUCUUACACACACACACACACACACACACAGAAUAUAUAGUAUUGUUUUUGGUGUAUGAGUGUGUGCGUCGGAAUAAAUGGUUUCAUACUCUAUAUACUUACUGUUUUAUAAUUUACCUUCUUCACUCAACACUGUAUCUCAGAUGUCUUAGAGAUCUAAGACACCAUAUCUUAGAGAAUGAGCAGCCUCAUUGUUUUAUUCCGUAAUAUGAAUUUACUAAAUUUAUUGGGCCUUUUUUUUUGAGACAGAGUCUUACUCUGUCACUCAGGCUGGAGUGCAAUGGCACAAAAUCGGCUCACUGCAAGCUCCGCCUCCUGGGUUCAAGUGAUUCUCUUGCCUCACGCCCAGAUAAUUUUUUGUAUUUUUAGUAGAGACAGGGUUUCACCAUGUUGGCCAGGCUGGUCUCAAACUCCUGACCUCAGGUGAGCCACCCGCCUCGGCCUCCCAAAGUGCUGGAAUUACAAGCAUGAGCCACCGAGCCCGGCCUGAGCCUUUCUUAAAUUGAUGAUAGUGUGGUUUCUAGUUUGGGCCAUUAUCAGCAACAUUGCUGUGUACAUAUCUUUAUAUCAGGGUGUCCAAUCUUUCAGCUUCCCUGGGCCCAUAUUGGAAGAAGAAUUGUCUUGGGCCACACAUAAAAUACACUAACACUAAUGGUAGUCGAUGAGCUAAAAAAAAAAAAAAAAAGGAAAAAAAAGCUCGUGUAUUUUACAAAAGUUUUACGGAUUCGUGUUGGGCUGCAUUCAAAGCCGUCCUGGGCCGUGGGUUGGACAAGUUUACUGUACAUCUUUCUUUGUACACACGAUGAAUGUCACAAAGAGCUCACAAAGCACCUGUACCAUGUGUAUGUUUCAGUUAUGAAUAUGUUCUGCAAUAAACAGAAAACUCAUUAAACAAAUAUGGGUUGUUUUUCCCCCCUCACCUCUGAAGGUAAGGAGUUACUGAGAAUGGUUUAGCGGCUUGGUGAUGCCCCAGGGAUCCAGGCUGUCUUCCCUUCUGCUCUGCCAGCCUUAGUGUGUUGUCUGAUGUCCUCAUCCUUGGUGCUUCAUAGUCACAAUAUGACUGCUGUUGCUCUGGACAUCACUUCUGCAUUCAGAGAUGGAAAAGAAGAAAUAACAGUCCCAGCCACAACCACUUCUUCUUAUCAGAAAUGUAAAAACAUUCCCAGAAGGUUUCUUAGGACUCACAGGCCAGAACCAAAUCCAUGACCGCUCCUACUGCAAGGAAGUCUAGGAAAGAGAGGAAUAGAUUUGCCUGAUUGGCUUAAACGAAUACUUCACAUCCUAGCUGCACAUUACAAUCACCUGGGAGCUCUAAAAAAUACCUAUCUGGGCUUCACCUCCAGAGGUUUUGAUAUAAUUGGUCUGGGAUGGGGCCUAUUCACUGCUGUUUUGAAAAGCUCCAUGGAUGACUCUAAAAACUGACCAGAGUUGAGAACCACUGGGUUCCACCAAUCAUGAUCCUUCAUCUAGGGCUGGGCAGGUGUAUAAGUGAGGAUUAUAUUCAGUUGCAAGUGACAACAUACAACAUACCAAGCCUAAACAAGAGAGGAGUUUAUUUAUUGCUCACAUAAAAGUUCAGC